rnacentral:rRNA from 1 species
GUAGGUGGCAAGCGUUGUCCGGAAUUAUUGGGCGUAAAGCGCGCGCAGGCGGUCCUUUAAGUCUGAUGUGAAAGCCCACGGCUCAACCGUGGAGGGUCAUUGGAAACUGGGGGACUUGAGUACAGAAGAGGAAAGCGGAAUUCCAAGUGUAGCGGUGAAAUGCGUAGAGAUUUGGAGGAACACCAGUGGCGAAGGCGGCCUUCUGGUCUGUAACUGACGCUGAGGCGCGAAAGCGUGGGGAGCAAACAGGAUUAGAUACCCUGGUAGUCCACGCCGUAAACGAUGAGUGCUAAGUGUUAGGGGGUUUCCCGCCCCCCUUAGUGCUGCAGCUAACGCAUUAAGCACUCCGCCUGGGGAGUACGGCCGCAAGGCUG